rnacentral:rRNA from 1 species
CUCCGUUGGUGAACCAGCGGAGGGAUCAUUACUGAGUUUACGCUCUACAACCCUUUGUGAACAUACCUACAACUGUUGCUUCGGCGGGUAGGGUCCCCGUGACCCUCCCGGCCUCCCGCCCCCCCGGGCGGGUCGGCGCCCGCCGGAGGAUAACCAAACUCUGAUUUAACGACGUUUCUUCUGAGUGGUACAAGCAAAUAAUCAAAACUUUUAACAACGGAUCUCUUGGUUCUGGCAUCGAUGAAGAACGCAGCGAAAUGCGAUAAGUAAUGUGAAUUGCAGAAUUCAGUGAAUCAUCGAAUCUUUGAACGCACAUUGCGCCCGCCAGCAUUCUGGCGGGCAUGCCUGUUCGAGCGUCAUUUCAACCCUCAAGCUCUGCUUGGUGUUGGGGCCCUACAGCUGAUGUAGGCCCUCAAAGGUAGUGGCGGACCCUCCCGGAGCCUCCUUUGCGUAGUAACUUUACGUCUCGCACUGGGAUCCGGAGGGACUCUUGCCGUAAAACCCCCCAAUUUUCCAAAGGUUGACCUCGGAUCAGGUAGGAAUACCCGCUGAACUUAAGCAUAUCAAUAAGCGGAGGAA